rnacentral:tRNA from 1 species
GCGAUAGUAGUCUAGUGGUUAGGAUAGAAGAUUGCCAAUCUUCAGACCCGGGUUCAAGUCCCGGCUUUCGCA